CCCUAGCCCCCCAAUCCAGAGCCGCCACACCUCCCCCCUCCUCCUUCCCUCGUCCGCCACCGCACUCCCUCCCUCCUCCCUCGUCGCCACACCAUCCGCCGUAGCACCGCGCGCUCGUUCUGUCGUCUCAUAUACCAUCGCUGCCGGCCCCUGCCAUGGUGUCACGGCGCUCUUCCUGCGCCCUCGCGUCCGACCUCACCAGGUCGUCGAUCUCGGCCUCAUCGGCUUGCUGCGGCGGCCGCUCUCGACGCCGUCCUUGCGACACGACAACGGCAAACCCGAGCGCGGACAGCUAAUGUGGUGGUGCAGCGGACGGCAGCCUUAGCGGGCGAGCGACGGAGACUGCAACUGGUGCAUGAGCUCGCACCUCAAUGCGUCGGUGCUUGAAUAGCUCGCAUCUUCACGGCCACCAAGUGCACAGGCCAGUAGUUAAAUUUUCUGCGGAUGAGUCCUUGUCGGAUGGAUGGUGACUAACGAGAUGCACUUCUUUGCCACAAGUAAUUUUAAUAAAGGGAUUGUGUACAAGUGUUCAGAUCUUUUCUUGUGAGAAGGAUACACAAAAUCAAGUUUUUUGUCGGUAGGAGAUUUUUUCGCUGUCCAACUGUUCAGUUCCACUGGAACAAGGGGUCCACUGGACUUCUAUUGUUUCCGAACUUGAUGUGGAUAAAAUCAACCAGAGUAUUAUGGUGAAACCAAGUUUCACCACUUGACAACUUACAGGGCCUUUCAAGGAAUUGUUCCUGUCAAAAAUGAGGGGCCAAUGUAUGAUGUUCAGUGGUCUUCUUCAGGUUCUGAAUUUGUUGUGGUCUAUGGAUAUAUCCUUACAUCGUCCUUACAUGAACCAUAACAUUUCUGGUUUAAUGUCUUUGUUUUCUACAACUGUUCCUUGACUAAAUCUUGGUUAGGCCGGCCAGAGCACCAAUAUUCAGCCAAAAAUGCAAUCCUCUUCACGAGCUUGGUGAAGGCCAUUAUAAUACGAUAAGAUGGAAUCCUGAAGGGUGAUCUUUCUGGGACUAUUCAGAAAGAAAUUAGUAGGGAAAACAAAGGCUAAAUGGCAUGUGCGAUGGUCGCCAUUUUCUGAUAGUCACUACAGCUCCAAGGCUUCAAAUAGAUAAUGAGUACAUUUCCUGCAACUUUAGCAUGAUAAUGGAAAUGGUGGAGGAUCCUUACAUGAUUAUCUUCAUAUUUCCUGGUGCAGUUUAAGAAGAUGUGUUGAAAAACUGUAUCAGGUAUGUCGACAGCAUAACAGGUUUCUCUAUAAUCUAUAUCCCUUGUUGGUACUAAAAAAUUAGCGACAUGUCGAAGAAAUAAAUAUGCAAGCCCUCACAUUGCCCUCAUGAUUGUUGCUUCUGAAUUGUACAUGUUGAAUAGAAGCCAGAAUAUCCUGAAAGACUUGGUGACAUUGCUGACCUCACAAUAUCUUUGUAUAGCAUAAAAAUGAAGAAACAAAGAAGUAAUGUUCCAGUAUAUUUGCAGAGGUGAAAUAUUAACGCCAGUUCGAGCGCACCGGCCUCGAUGGCAAGAGACCACUACCAUCAGUGUAGUGGUAUAGCAUACUGUGAGCAAUCAGGAACAAAAACAGGAGGUUUAAUUUUCACAAAUCGGUACUGCAUAUUUUUCAGAAGAUAUGCAUUGUGAUUGAACAUGAGAAAUCAUUUACCUCCCUGUACUUCAAGGUGUGUUCUGCUCUAAAAUGACAAGCACCCAACGAAGUGAGAGCGCAAACCACAUGUUGAAGAGUUAUAUGCCACCUGCUAGCCCGAUGCACAUUUUUGUGAGGCAGUAUAUGAGGCUCCAGUUUGACCGUGGGAGGGAGGAAAGUUACGAAUUGACUAUUUGUCAGAAAAACUGAUGUAUCUGUUUGUUAUUCACCGUUGCUGAUUAAUUUUCAAUUUUUCAUUCUCAGUAAAACUGAUGUGUGCUGAUGGUGGCAGGGAGGUGUGGUGAGGAGAGCAAAUCUGGCAAAUGGCAAUAGAGCAGCAUGCAAGCAAAGUGUACACUCGUGCUAUGUUUUGGAGCCCCGUCGAAAGGUUUGGAGGCCCAGGAAGGUAGUGUUGGGGCGUCCGUCGGCGUGAAUGCGCUUCAAUGACUAGCACCACCGGAGUGGCAAAGAGGUGUAGGGAGGCCGUCGAACAGCCGGGAGAAAGCACCACACGAGGGUCUGAGCAAGCAUACCAGGUUUUGCAGCAUCUGCCCCCGUGAAGGCCACAAGCUGACGACAUGCCCUGAUCGUGGAGAUGCACCUAAACAGCCCCGCAAACCCGGAAAGUGCAAGAACUGUUGAAUGGAAAGGCGCCGCAGGAACACGUGCACACGCCUACUGGGUGGUGCACAUAUGUAGUCUAGAAGAUUUAAAAUUUCGUGUGUAAUGUGUGAUUCAAGAAUUUUCUGGUGUGUGUUGUGAGCCAUGCUCCACGAUUGUUCCUCCAGUGCUUAAUCUUAGUGCUAUUGUAUUCCAUAGUGUUGUAUGGUAAGUCUGUAACUCAACAGAACUUCACAAUUAUGAUAGAAAAAAUGUUGGGCGUGA